rnacentral:rRNA from 1 species
CCUACGGGUGGCAGCAGUGGGGAAUAUUGGACAAUGGGGGCAACCCUGAUCCAGCCAUGCCGCGUGUGUGAAGAAGGCCCUCGGGUUGUAAAGCACUUUCAGUGAGGAAGAACGCCUGGUGGUUAAUACCCAUCAGGAAAGACAUCACUCACAGAAGAAGCACCGGCUAACUCCGUGCCAGCAGCCGCGGUAAUACGGAGGGUGCGAGCGUUAAUCGGAAUUACUGGGCGUAAAGCGCGCGUAGGUGGCUUGAUAAGCCGGUUGUGAAAGCCCCGGGCUCAACCUGGGAACGGCAUCCGGAACUGUCAAGCUAGAGUGCAGGAGAGGAAGGUAGAAUUCCCGGUGUAGAGGUGAAAUGCGUAGAGAUCGGGAGGAAUACCAGUGGCGAAGGCGGCCUUCUGGACUGACACUGACACUGAGGUGCGAAAGCGUGGGUAGCAAACAGGAUUAGAUACCCGUGUAGUC